GAGGGUAUAGCUCAAGUGGUAGAGCACGUGCUUAGCACGCAGGAGGUCCUGGGUUCAGUCCCAAGUACCUCA
rnacentral:tRNA from 1 species